AGUGAACGCUGGCGGUAGGCCUAACACAUGCAAGUCGAACGGCAGCACAGUAAGAGCUUGCUCUUACGGGUGGCGAGUGGCGGACGGGCGAGGAAUACAUCGGAAUCUACUUUUUCGUGGGGGAUAACGUAGGGAAACUUACGCUAAUACCGCAUACGACCUACGGGUGAAAGCAGGGGAUCUUCGGACCUUGCGCGAUUGAAUGAGCCGAUGUCGGAUUAGCUAGUUGGCGGGGUAAAGGCCCACCAAGGCGACGAUCCGUAGCUGGUCUGAGAGGAUGAUCAGCCACACUGGAACUGAGAAACGGUCCAGACUCCUACGGGAGGCAGCAGUGGGGAAUAUUGGACAAUGGGCGCAAGCCUGAUCCAGCCAUACCGCGUGGGUGAAGAAGGCCUUCGGGUUGUAAAGCCCUUUUGUUGGGAAAGAAAAGCAGCAGGUUAAUACCCCGCUGUUCUGACGGUACCCAAAGAAUAAGCACCGGCUAACUUCGUG
rnacentral:rRNA from 1 species